rnacentral:rRNA from 1 species
GACGAACGCUGGCGGCGUGCCUAAUACAUGCAAGUAGAACGCACAGUUUAUACCGUAGCUUGCUACACCAUAGACUGUGAGUUGCGAACGGGUGAGUAACGCGUAGGUAACCUGCCUGGUAGCGGGGGAUAACUAUUGGAAACGAUAGCUAAUACCGCAUAAUAUUGAUUAUUGCAUGAUAAUUGAUUGAAAGAUGCUAUUGCAUCACUACCAGAUGGACCUGCGUUGUAUUAGCUAGUAGGUGAGGUAACGGCUCACCUAGGCGACGAUACAUAGCCGACCUGAGAGGGUGAUCGGCCACACUGGGACUGCGACACGGCCCAGACUCCUACGGGAGGCAGCAGUAGGGAAUCUUCGGCCAUGGACGAAAGUCUGACCGAGCAACGCCGCGUGAGUGAAGAAGGUUUUCGGAUCGUAAAGCUCUGUUGUAAGAGAAGAACGGGUGUGAGAGUGGAAAGUUCACACUGUGACGGUAUCUUACCAGAAAGGGACGGCUAACUACGUG